rnacentral:rRNA from 1 species
GUAUUCCCGCGCCAUGGCUGAUGCGCGAUUACUAGCGAAUCCAGCUUCACGGAGUCGAGUUGCAGACUCCGAUCCGAACUGAGAUGAGUUUUAUGAGAUUAGCAUCCUGUCGCCAGGUAGCAACCCUCUGUACUCACCAUUGUAACACGUGUGUCGCCCCGGACGUAAGGGCCGUGCUGAUUUGACGUCAUCCCCACCUUCCUCUACCUUACAGUAGCAGUCCUGUUAGAGUUCCCAGCAUUACCUGAUGGCAACUAACAGCAAGGGUUGCGCUCGUUAAGGCACUUAAGCCGACACCUCACGGCACGAGCUGACGACAACCAUGCAGCACCUAGUUUCGUGUCCCGAAGGAAAGACCUGUUUCCAAGUCCGUCACUAACUUUCAAGCCCGGGUAAGGUUCCUCGCGUAUCAUCGAAUUAAACCACAUGUUCCUCCGCUUGUGCGGGCCCCCGUCAAUUCCUUUGAGUUUCACCGUUGCCGGCGUACUCCCCAGGUGGAAUACUUAACACUUUCGCUUUACCGCUGACAUUAUAUCGCCAACAGCUAGUAUUCAUCGUUUACUGCGUGGACUACCAGGGUAUCUAAUCCUGUUUGAUACCCACGCUUUCGUGCCUCAGCGUCAGUUGCAUGCUGGUAAGCUGCCUUCGCAAAUC